rnacentral:rRNA from 1 species
AACGAACGCUGGCGGCAGGCCUAACACAUGCAAGUCGAGCGCGCCUGCGGGUGAGCGGCGGGCGGGUGAGUAACGGGUGGGAAUAUGCGCUUCUCUCCGGAGUAGCCUGGGGAAACUGGGGGUAAUACCGUAUACGAGCGUUGCGGGUACGAGUUAUCGGGGAAGGAUUAGCCCGCGUGUGAUGAGGUAGUUGGUGGGGUAAUGGCCUACCAAGCCGGGGAUCUAUGGCUGGUUGGGGAGGAGGAUCGGCCAAACCGGGACUGAGACACAGCCCAGACUCAUACGGGAGGCAGCGGGGGGGAAUGUUAGACAAUGGCGGCAACCCUGAUCGAGCCAUGCCGCGUGAGUGAUGAAGGCCUUAGGGUUGUAAAGCUCUUUCAGCUGGGAAGAUAAUGACGGUACCAGCAGAAGAAGCCCCGGCUAACUCCGUG